ACAUCCAAUCAAACUGUGAGGAUGUGAGCGGAGGAAGAACUGCAGGACGGUGUCAAAUUAAAACGUGACUUCCACAGUUAGCAGGUGCAUCAAGGCCCUGGUAUUGUGCAUGCUGACUCACUGGCUUGGCUUACUACCACACGUAGAUAGAACAUGCCUGUAUUGUUCUGAGAGGAUGUUUAACCUAUCAAAAGGACAAUUGCACACAUCAUAUUUUGGUGAGUCAAUCAGUACAAAGAUCCAAGCAGAGGUCCGUCUAGAGGAGAUUGACCCACAUCAGCAUCACUGACAGAGAGAGGGGAAUCUUGCAGCAGUCACAGGAUGGAGUAAGGAGUGAGCAAGGAUUUGCUUUGGACUUCACCAGCAACACCACUCCUGACCACAAGGUGGCAUCAGUCCUCAGUGACUCAGUCCAUGAAUACAGCGCCACUGAUGAUCUGACUGUAGAGAAAUCCUCUUUACUGGAAGGGUUAAACUUUAAUCUUAACAAUCUCUUUUCACCCUUUAUGUAAAAAACAUACGGAAAUAAACAAUAUGGCAAAACAUCUGUCUAAACCCCUCAGACAAGUAAACAAUAGGAAUA